rnacentral:rRNA from 1 species
UGGGGAAUUUUGGACAAUGGGCGAAAGCCUGAUCCAGCAAUGCCGCGUGUGUGAAGAAGGCCUUCGGGUUGUAAAGCACUUUUGUCCGGAAAGAAAUCCUUGGCUCUAAUACAGUCGGGGGAUGACGGUACCGGAAGAAUAAGCACCGGCUAACUACGUGCCAGCAGCCGCGGUAAUACGUAGGGUGCAAGCGUUAAUCGGAAUUACUGGGCGUAAAGCGUGCGCAGGCGGUUUGCUAAGACCGAUGUGAAAUCCCCGGGCUCAACCUGGGAAUUGCAUUGGUGACUGGCAGGCUAGAGUAUGGCAGAGGGGGGUAGAAUUCCACGUGUAGCAGUGAAAUGCGUAGAGAUGUGGAGGAAUACCGAUGGCGAAGGCAGCCCCCUGGGCCAAUACUGACGCUCAUGCACGAAAGCGUGGGGAGCAAACAGGAUUAGAUACCCUGGUAGUCCAGCGCCCUAAACGAUGUCAACUAGUUGCUGGGGAUUCAUUUCCUUAGUAACGUAGCUAACGCGUGAAGUUGACCGCCUGGGGAGUACGGUCGCAAGAUUAAAACUU